rnacentral:rRNA from 1 species
AGUGAACGCUGGCGGUAGGCCUAACACAUGCAAGUCGAACGGCAGCACAGUAAGAGCUUGCUCUUACGGGUGGCGAGUGGCGGACGGGUGAGGAAUACAUCGGAAUCUACUUUUUCGUGGGGGAUAACGUAGGGAAACUUACGCUAAUACCGCAUACGACCUACGGGUGAAAGCAGGGGAUCUUCGGACCUUGCGCGAUUGAAUGAGCCGAUGUCGGAUUAGCUAGUUGGCGGGGUAAAGGCCCACCAAGGCGACGAUCCGUAGCUGGUCUGAGAGGAUGAUCGGCGACACUGGAGCUGGGACACGGUCCAGGCUCCUACGGGAGGCAGCAGUGGGGAAUAUUGGACAAUGGGCGCAAGCCUGAUCCAGCCGUACCGCGUGGGUGAAGAAGGCCUUCGGGUUGUAAAGCCCUUUUGUUGGGAAAGAAAAGCAGCAGGUUAAUACCCCGCUGUUCUGACGGUACCCAAAGAAUAAGCACCGGCUAACUUCGUG